CCGGGUGUAGUGCGGCAGUGAACAGCCUUAUUCAUUCAUUUCACGGCAAGCGCCGUUUUACCCAUUUCGUCAACAUUAUUAAACAGGUGACAAAGGGUAUUGUCAGUGGUUUUGUCACGACGGGGGUGUGGCAGCUUACUACGGGGUUUGUUCCCCCAGGAUGCAGACGGACCACUCCGGACAAGGCGUGCAGACUUUUCAGGCCGGCUUGAAUCAGGAAAGAAGCUGAAGUGGAAGUGAAAGAUGUUUUCCUGCUAGUGGAAGAAGUUCUUCAGAUGUCAGCUGCAGCCUCCUGACGUCACAACGACUUAAUGACAACGUACCUGUACACACCUAUGUUCCAGCUUGAAAGCACAAAUAGAAAGGUUCUUCAGCCAGCUUGAAACCCAUAAAGGAUUUCUACUGUGGUGUUGUGGAGGGAAGCCGGUCCUGGCACACCCCGCUUCGCUGCAGGUCCGCGGGCCACGCCCCCCUCCACAUAUGUGUUUCCAGAUGUCAUCAGUGUUUGAACCUGACAGUUAUCAUCACUACUGUCUGAUUCCAAUCAAUGCAAGUCAUCAGAAUCAGGUAAUACACCAACUUAUAUUCUUGUCUUCGUGAAAGAGAGGAAUCCAUGUGUGUUAAACAUGCUUGUAUUAUCAUUAAACACUUUUAACUUGUUAACUAAAAAACUCUCUUUCAUAAAUAAAUCAAUAAAAAUGAUAUAUAUGAAUGAGGUAGAUCCCUUCCACUUGGUCAAUUGUAAAGUAGCUCGCCUGCAGAAAAGGUGUAGGCACCCCUUGCUUUAUAGAUUGUAAAACUUUUCACCCCUACCCAUAGGGGGCACCACAGUUUCAAACCAGAAUCUGGCUAUGUAUGUUUAACACAUGUGGGUAACAUUAUUAAUCUCACAUUACCGUUUGUUUACAUCUUUUCAAAUUGUCCAAGUGCCUUCUCAUUGUACACAGGCUCGGAACUUUACAAAACCCAAAACCAGUGAAGUUGGAACGUUGUGUAAAUGGUAAAUAAAAACAGAAUACAAU